rnacentral:rRNA from 1 species
CGGGGUGCAGCAGGCGCGAAAACUUUACAAUGCUGGCAACAGCGAUAAGGGGACCUCGAGUGCCAGGAUACAAUCUUGGCUGUCGUGAUGCCUAAAAAGCAUUGCAUAGCAAGGGCCGGGCAAGACCGGUGCCAGCCGCCGCGGUAACACCGGCGGCUCGAGUGGUAACCGCUAUUAUUGGGUCUAAAGGGUCUGUAGCCGGCCGGAUAAGUCUCUUGGGAAAUCCGACAGCUCAACUGUCGGGCUUUCAGGGGAUACUGUUCGGCUCGAGGCCGGGAGAGGUGAGAGGUACUUCAGGGGUAGGGGUGAAAUCUUGUAAUCCUUGAAGGACCACCAGUGGCGAAGGCGUCUCACCAGAACGGUCCUGACGGCAAGGGACGAAAGCUAGGGGCACGAACCGGAUUAGAUACCCGGGUAGUCCUAGCCGUAAACGAUACUCGCUAGGUGUCGGCCACGGUGCGACCGUGGUCGGUGCCGUAGGGAAGCCGUGAAGCG